GCUAACUACGUGCCAGCAGCCGCGGUAAUACGUAGGGGGCAAGCGUUGUCCGGAAUUAUUGGGCGUAAAGCGCGCGUAGGCGGUCUUUUAAGUCUGAUGUGAAAUCUCGCAGCUUAACUGCGAGCGGUCAUUGGAAACUGGAGGACUUGAGUACAGAAGAGGAGAGUGGAAUUCCACGUGUAGCGGUGAAAUGCGUAGAGAUGUGGAGGAACACCAGUGGCGAAGGCGACUCUCUGGUCUGUAACUGACGCUGAGGUGCGAAAGCGUGGGUAGCGAACAGGAUUAGAUACCCGGGUAGUC
rnacentral:rRNA from 1 species